rnacentral:rRNA from 1 species
GACGAAGGUGGCUAGCGUUGUUCGGAAUCACUGGGCUUAAAGAGCACGUAGGCGGCUCAUCAAGCGCUUUGUGAAAUCCCUCGGCUCAACCGAGGAAUUGCUUGGCGGACUGAUGGGCUUGAGGUAGGCAGGGGCGAGUGGAACUCUUGGUGGAGCGGUGGAAUGCGUAGAUAUCAAGAGGAACGCCGGCGGUGAAGACGACUCGCUGGGCCUGUCCUGACGCUGAGGUGCGAAAGCCAGGGGAGCAAAC